GUUCAUGGCUCAGGAUGAACGCUAGCUACAGGCUUAACACAUGCAAGUCGAGGGGCAGCAUGUAUCUGGCUUGCCAGAUAUGAUGGCGACCGGCGCACGGGUGAGUAACGCGUAUCCGACCUGCCGCACACUCCGGGAUAGCCUUGCGAAAGCAAGUUUAAUACCGGAUGCCGUAAUGGCGCCGCAUGGUGUUUUUUACGAAAGGGAUUUACCGGUGUGCGAUGGGGAUGCGUCCCG
rnacentral:rRNA from 1 species